CCUACGGGAGGCUGCAGUGGGGAAUAUUGCACAAUGGGGGAACCCUGAUGCCGCAACGCCGCGUGAGCGAUUGAGGCCUUCGGGGCGGAAAGCCCUGGCCUUAGGGAAGAAUACCGACGGUACCUUAGGAGGAAGCCCCGGCUAACUACGGGCCAGCAGCCGCGGUAAUUCGUAGGGGGCUAGCGUUAUCCGGAAUUACUGGGCGUAAAGGGGGCGUAGGCGGCCCUUCAAGUCAGGGGUGAAAGGCUACGGCUCAACCGUAGUAAGGCUUUGAAACUGUAGGGCUUGAGUGCAGGAGAGGAGAGUGGAAUUCCCAGUGUAGCGGUGAAAUGCGUAGAUAUUGGGAGGAACACCAGUUGCGAAGGCGGCUCUCUGGACUGUAACUGACGCUGAGGCACGAAAGCGUGGGGAGCGAACAGGAUUAGAUACCCCAGUAGUC
rnacentral:rRNA from 1 species